CUGGGUGAGGAGUGUGUGAGGAAGAGCAGUAAAGUGACUCUGAGUCCAGAAGACAUUUCUAGAGAGCUGGAGCGACUCCUGCAGGAGAAAGCAGACAACCAGAGGAUCUUUGACUGGGUGGAGGCCAAUCUGGACGAGCAGCAAACAUCAUCGGACACAUUUGUCCGGCUGCUGAUGACUGCUCUGUCUGUCAGUCUGCCAUCAUCGGUGAGAAUCCAUAUAAAGUAGACGCUACUGAAAUGACCCAGAGGGCCAAGCUGCUGCAGCGCUACAUUAACAACGAGCAGAAGGAGCUGCAGGCGCUCUACGCCUUACAGAGUCUGAUGAUGGCAGCUGGAGCAG